rnacentral:rRNA from 1 species
AGAGUUUGAUCCUGGCUCAGGAUGAACGCUGGCGGCGUGCUUAACACAUGCAAGUCGAACGCACCUUCGGGUGAGUGGCGGACGGGUGAGUAACGCGUGGGAAUCUGCCCUUAGGAGGGGGAUAACGGCUGGAAACGGCCGCUAAUACCCCAUAUGCCGUGAGGUGAAACGAAUUUCGCCUGAGGAUGAGCCCGCGUCUGAUUAGCUAGUUGGUGGGGUAAGAGCCCACCAAGGCGACGAUCAGUAGCUGGUCUGAGAGGAUGAUCAGCCACACUGGGACUGAGACACGGCCCAGACUCCUACGGGAGGCAGCAGUGGGGAAUUUUCCGCAAUGGGCGAAAGCCUGACGGAGCAACGCCGCGUGAGGGAUGAAGGCCUCUGGGCUGUAAACCUCUUUUCUCAAGGAAGAAGACAUGACGGUACUUGAGGAAUAAGCCACGGCUAAUUCCGUGCCAGCAGCCGCGGUAAUACGGGAGUGGCAAGCGUUAUCCGGAAUUAUUGGGCGUAAAGCGUCCGCAGGCGGCUCUGUAAGUCUGUUGUUAAAGCGUGGAGCUCAACUCCAUUUCAGCAAUGGAAACUACAGGGCUUGAGUGUGGUAGGGGCAGAGGGAAUUCCCGGUGUAGCGGUGAAAUGCGUAGAUAUCGGGAAGAACACCAGUGUCGAAGGCGCUCUGCUGGGCCAUAACUGACGCUCAUGGACGAAAGCCAGGGGAGCGAAAGGGAUUAGAUACCCCUGUAGUCCUGGCCGUAAACGAUGAACACUAGGUGUCGGGGGAAUCGACCCCCUCGGUGUCGUAGCCAACGCGUUAAGUGUUCCGCCUGGGGAGUACGCACGCAAGUGUGAAACUCAAAGGAAUUGACGGGGGCCCGCACAAGCGGUGGAGUAUGUGGUUUAAUUCGAUGCAACGCGAAGAACCUUACCAGGGUUUGACAUCCUGCGAAUCCCUUGGAAACUUGGGAGUGCCUUCGGGAGCGCAGAGACAGGUGGUGCAUGGCUGUCGUCAGCUCGUGUCGUGAGAUGUUGGGUUAAGUCCCGCAACGAGCGCAACCCACGUCUUUAGUUGCCAGCAUUCAGUUGGGCACUCUAGAGAGACCGCCGGUGAUAAACCGGAGGAAGGUGUGGAUGACGUCAAGUCAUCAUGCCCCUUACAUCCUGGGCUACACACGUACUACAAUGCUACGGACAGAGGGCAGCAAGCUCGCGAGAGUUAGCUAAUCCCAUAAACCGUGGCUCAGUUCAGAUCGUAGGCUGCAACUCGCCUACGUGAAGGAGGAAUCGCUAGUAAUCGCAGGUCAGCAUACUGCGGUGAAUACGUUCCCGGGCCUUGUACACACCGCCCGUCACACCAUGGAAGUUGGCCAUGCCCGAAGUCGUUACUCCAACCCUUGUGGAGGAGGACGCCGAAGGUGGGGCUGAUGACUGGGGUGAAGUCGAACAAGGUA